AAGGAGAUGUCUCAGCACAUCACAUCUCUCCAUAAGGAGAUAAAGGGAGUGGAGAAGCUGAAAGAGAACAUCAGAAUGGGCUGUGCUCUCUCAAACUUAUUCUCUGCACUCCUGUCAAGUCCCUUUCUCUCUCUCUCAACCUCUUAAUUCUGUGCGCGCUCAACUCUUGACAUGCUCGCUCAACGUGCAAGAGCGUUACAAGUGUGCCACAAAAUCAACCAAUCGGAAAAUUAAAGAUUUUGGUGACUUGUCAGAGGAUGCUGCAGCUGGUUUCAAAAGUGUCCUCAUGCGGAGGUCUUAUGCACUGGAGAGUUUAUGCCAACAAGCUGUGAGCACGGAUAGUGCUAUAGUUGAUGACCUCCAGAUACAGGACACAGAAUGCAGAUCGGACACUGAUGACGAAUAUAACCUUAGUAGUCCAGAGUCAGAAGAAGAUUAGAAAGGAGACCACUCUGUUUUGUUUUUAAAAUCUGCUGAUCCUUUCUUUUUCAACUUCAACAAUUUCCAGCUUGUCUUCAACAACCUCCAGCAAGCAAUAAUUUAUCGCUGCAGAAUGGCCAGACUCUGGCUACCUUUUAUUAGCAGGCUAACCCCCAAGCUAUCAGACAUGUAAAUAUGCACUAACCCUAUGAUAAUUCAGUUAUCAACAUUAGGUGUUGUUAAUUGUGAAAUUAUUUUGCACUGCAACUUCAUAUACUUCAAUCAUGAGUGUGUAAUAUAAUUGCAAUAUUGACUGAAUGGAUUGGCCCUCUGGGUGGACUGUUUUAUGCAUUCUGGACUGUGACAUUUCAACCUCAACUUUAGCACUUAAAGGACAAUAGGGAGCUCAUUUAUGCUCUAUUGAAUUUUCUUGUGUCAGAUGUGUUUUGUGGUACAUGUGAGCACACAAAGAUAGAUUUCUUCAACUGGAAAUGGCUACAAUAAACUUGAAUGAAUUUGAAAGUGUAAAUAAUUUGUGAUUGUAAAAAGUGCAUAAAGUACAUAAUUGCCUUGUAGUCUUUAUUCAAAAUCUACAUUUUACAGUAUACUGUCAUAAUAUAAAAACUCUUCAGGAUGCAGACGUGGCACUGGUGAAAUCAAAAGUCAAAAAUUGUCCAUGGGACCUGGUGUCACUUGGCAGUACUUAACGCGCUGUGUUGACUUGACAGAUCAGAGAUUUGAUAAAAACCCAUUAAUCUUGUUUUUCAUAUAUUCAAAACCAAUGUAUUUAAGCAGGAUAGUAUUUAAAUUAACAUGA